GAUGAACGCUAGCUACAGGCUUAACACAUGCAAGUCGAGGGGCAGCGCAGUGUAGCAAUACAUGGGCGGCGACCGGCGCACGGGUGCGUAACGCGUAUCCAACCUUCCCGUUACUCAGGGAUAGCCUUCCGAAAGGGAGAUUAAUACCUGAUGGUGUUGAAAUUCCGCAUGUUAUUUCAACUAAAGAUUUAUCGGUAACGGAUGGGGAUGCGUGACAUUAGGUAGAUGGCGGGGUAACGGCCCACCAUGCCUACGAUGUCUAGGGGUUCUGAGAGGAAGGUCCCCCCACACUGGAACUGAGACACGGUCCAGACUCCUACGGGAGGCAGCAGUGAGGAAUAUUGGUCAAUGGCCGAAGGCUGAACCAGCCAAGUAGCGUGAAGGAUGAAGGUUCUAUGGAUUGUAAACUUCUUUUAUACGGGAAUAAAACCACCUACGUGUAGGUGCUUGUAUGUACCGUAUGAAUAAGCAUCGGCUAACUCCGUGCCAGCAGCCGCGGU
rnacentral:rRNA from 1 species